GACGAACGCUGGCGGCGUGCUUAACACAUGCAAGUCGAACGGAAAGGCCUUUCGGUGGUACUCGAGUGGCGAACGGGUGAGUAACACGUGGGUGAUCUGCCCUGCACUCUGGGAUAAGCCUGGGAAACUGGGUCUAAUACCGGAUAGGACCGCACUUUAGUGUGUGUGGUGGAAAGUUUUUUCGGUGUAGGGUGAGCUCGCGGCCUAUCAGCUUGAUUGUGGGGUAAUGGCCUACCAAGGCGGCGACGGGUAGCCGGGCUGAGAGGUGCGUAAGGCACAGUGGGGCUGAAACAGCUGCCCGGCAUCUUACGGAGGCAGCAAUCGGGGAAAUUGCUCGAAAGGCGCGAGCCUGGUUCGACGACGCCGCGUAGCGGAUGACGGCCUUCGGGUUGGGAUCUCCUUUCGUCAGGGACGAUGCAAUGUGUGACGGUACCGUGGGAAGAAGCGCCGGCUAACUACGUG
rnacentral:rRNA from 1 species